rnacentral:rRNA from 1 species
AUUGAACGCUAGCGGGAUGCCUUACACAUGCAAGUCGAACGGAGUGGCGAACGGGUGCGUAAUGUAUCGGAACGUGCCCAGUAGCGGGGGAUAACUACGAGAAAGCGUAGCUAAUACCACAUACUAAUGGAGUGGCCGAUAUCGGAUUAGCUAGUUGGUGGGGGAACGGCUAACCAAGGCGACGAUCCGUAGCUGGUUUGAGAGGAUGACCAGCCACACUGGGACUGAGACACGGCCCAGACUCCUACGGGAGGCAGCAGUGGGGAAUUUUGGGCAAUGGUGGAAACCCUGAUCCAGCCAUCCCGCGUGUGCGAUGAAGGCCUUCGGGUUGUAAAGCACUUUUGGCAGGAAAGCGGUACCUGCAGAAUAAGCACCGGCUAACUACGUGCCAGCCGCCGCGGUAAUUC